rnacentral:rRNA from 1 species
UACGUAGGGUGCGAGCGUUGUCCGGAAUUAUUGGGCGUAAAGAGCUUGUAGGCGGUCUGUCGCGUCUGCUGUGAAAAUCCGGGGCUCAACCCCGGACUUGCAGUGGGUACGGGCAGACUAGAGUGUGGUAGGGGAGACUGGAAUUCCUGGUGUAGCGGUGAAAUGCGCAGAUAUCAGGAGGAACACCGGUGGCGAAGGCGGGUCUCUGGGCCACUACUGACACUGAGAAGCGAAAGCAUGGGGAGCGAACAGG